CCAGCGCCAUGUUGGAAGUCUUCCAAUCGUCCACAUGGUUGGCUGCAUUUUGCUACCACCGGAAACCACUUGAAGAAUGCCCAUUAUUUCGUUUUUGUAAGGACACAGAAAACGGACGCAGAGAGAGAACUUAUUCAAAUACAGAGCUGUGAAACCCUGUAUGCAGGUGAAGAGGUCCCAAUGAAUGUCCCAAGAGAAUAAGGGUAUAUCCUUGUAUACCAUGGAUUAUAUGUGUACCUAUAUUAGUACAUUUUGUGAACAAAAAUACAGUUUAAGUCACACAAUGUAUAAACCUAUUACAACUGGAACAGGCCAACCCUGGUGGGUGUGCACGCUUCUGUUCCAGACCAGCAUUAACACACCUGAUUCAAUCUAUUAAACCUAAUUAGUUAAUAAUCAAGUGUGCUAUUGCUGGGCUGGAAUGGAAGUCUGCUCACCCAGUAGAUCAGGGAUCAGUGGUUGGCCACCUCUGGUAUUGACCUUCUUUUUUUUUUUUCACUUGAAAUUAUUUUUUACUAAUAACAACCUAUUUGUUACUAAAAUGUCUCAACUUUACAUAUGAAUCAGCUUACUUGUACACUUUUAAAUGACAUUAAAGUGUUGAUUCUUUGAAGUUAAGUAUUUAAACUAGUGUCGGUGUUGACUAAUCACAUCACAACCUUGCAAUAAAGAGAGGAAGGGAA